CCUACGGGAGGCAGCAGUGGGGAAUUGUUCGCAAUGGGCGCAAGCCUGACGACGCAACGCCGCGUGGAGGAUGAAGACCUUCGGGUCGUAAACUCCUUUCGAUCGAGACGAAUGUUUUCCGGGUGAACAAUCCGGAAAAGUGACGGUACUGAGAGAAGAAGCCCCGGCUAACUCUGUGCCAGCAGCCGCGGUAAUACAGGGGGGGCAAGCGUUGUUCGGAAUUACUGGGCGUAAAGGGCUUGUAGGUGGCCAACUAAGUCAGACGUGAAAUCCCUCAGCUUAACUGGGGAACUGCGUCUGAUACUGGAUGGCUUGAGUUUGGGAGAGGGAUGCGGAAUUCCAGGUGUAGCGGUGAAAUGCGUAGAUAUCUGGAGGAACACCGGUGGCGAAGGCGGCAUCCUGGACCAACACUGACACUGAGGAGCGAAAGCCAGGGGAGCAAACGGGGAUUAGAUACCCCGGUAGUCCUGGCCCUAAACGAUGAAUGCUUGGUGUGGCGGGUAUCGAUCCCUGCCGUGCCGAAGCUAACGCAUUAAGCAUUCCGCCUGGGGAGUACGGUCGCAAGGCUGAAACUCAAAUGAAUUGACGGNUGAGAGNGCGAGACGACGACGAGGGAGGAGG
rnacentral:rRNA from 1 species